AUUGAACGCUGGCGGCAUGCCUUACACAUGCAAGUCGAACGGCAGCACGGGAGCAAUCCUGGUGGCGAGUGGCGAACGGGUGAGUAAUAUAUCGGAACGUGCCCAGUCGUGGGGAUAACGUAGCGAAAGCUACGCUAAUACCGCAUACGAUCUAUGGAUGAAAGCGGGGGAUCGCAAGACCUCGCGCGAUUGGAGCGGCCGAUAUCAGAUUAGGUAGUUGGUGAGGUAAAGGCUCACCAAGCCGACGAUCUGUAGCUGGUCUGAGAGGACGACCAGCCACACUGGGACUGAGACACGGCCCAGACUCCUACGGGAGGCAGCAGUGGGGAAUUUUGGACAAUGGGCGAAAGCCUGAUCCAGCAAUGCCGCGUGAGUGAUGAAGGCCUUAGGGUUGUAAAGCUCUUUUACCCGAGAUGAUAAUGACAGUAUCGGGAGAAUAAGCUCCGGCUAACUCCGUGCCAGCAGCCGACGG
rnacentral:rRNA from 1 species